rnacentral:rRNA from 1 species
UACGUAGGGUGCAAGCGUUGUCCGGAAUUAUUGGGCGUAAAGGGCUCGUAGGCGGUCCAUCGCGUCGGGAGUGAAAAGCUGGGGCUCAACCCCAGUCCUGCUUUCGAUACGGGUGGACUAGAGGUAUGCAGGGGAGAACGGAAUUCCUGGUGUAGCGGUGAAAUGCGUAGAGAUCCGGAGGAACACCAGUGGCGAAGGCGACACGCUGGGCCGUACCUGACACUAAAACGCGACAGCAUGGGGAGCGAACGGG